rnacentral:rRNA from 1 species
UACGGAGGGCGCAAGCGUUGUUCGGAAUUACUGGGCGUAAAGGGCGCGUAGGCGGUUGUGUAAGUCAGAUGUGAAAUCCUCCGGCUCAACCGGAGAACUGCAUUUGAUACUACACGGCUAGAGUACAGGAGAGGGAAAUGGAAUUCCGGGUGUAGAGGUGAAAUUCGUAGAUAUCGGGAGGAACACCAGUGGCGAAGGCGAUUUCCUGGUCUGAUACUGACGCUGAGGCGCGAAAGCGUGGGGAGCAAACAGG